rnacentral:rRNA from 1 species
GGAUUAGAUACCCUGGUAGUCCAUGCUGUAAACGGUGGGCGCUAGGUGUGGGCUGUGUGUUUGCAGUCUGUGCCGUAGCUAACGCAUUAAGCGCCCCGCCUGGGGAGUACGGCCGCAAGGCUAAAACUCAAAGGAAUUGACGGGGGCCCGCACAAGCGGCGGAGCAUGUGGAUUAAUUCGAUGCAACGCGAAGAACCUUACCUGGGUUUGACAUGCACCAGAUCGGCGUAGAGAUACGUCCUCCCUUGUGGUUGGUGCACAGGUGGUGCAUGGUUGUCGUCAGCUCGUGCCG